rnacentral:rRNA from 1 species
ACGGGAGGCAGCAGUGGGGAAUAUUGGGCAAUGGGCGAAAGCCUGACCCAGCAACGCCGCGUGAAGGAAGAAGGUCUUCGGAUUGUAAACUUCUUUUAUGAGGGACGAAGGACGUGACGGUACCUCAUGAAUAAGCCACGGCUAACUACGUGCCAGCAGCCGCGGUAAUACGUAGGUGGCGAGCGUUAUCCGGAUUUACUGGGUGUAAAGGGCGCGUAGGCGGGGAUGCAAGUCAGAUGUGAAAUCUAUGGGCUUAACUCAUAAACUGCAUUUGAAACUGUAUCUCUUGAGUGCUGGAGAGGUAGACGGAAUUCCUUGUGUAGCGGUGAAAUGCGUAGAUAUAAGGAGGAACACCAGUGGCGAAGGCGGCUUUCUGGACUGACAAUGACGCUGAGGCUCGAAAGCGUGGGGAGCAAACAGGAUUAGAUACCCUGGUA